AUGAGAACAUGCUUGCAUAGAGGAAGACUUGCCGCCCUAGCGAUACUGGUCUCUGGUGGAAUUGUGUUGGUGAUUUUGGCCUGCGCUCUUUAUAACAACUACUGGUGGCCAAUGUUAACAUUAGAGACAUUUUGUGCAGUUCUGAUGCCACUCAUAUUUUUCCUGGGCGCCGAUUCUCCAUCGAUCAUGUCAAAUGAGGGUGGUGGGUGAGUGAACUUCACCAAGUUCCUGAUGGGCGCAUCGAUCGUGGGUAGCAUCGCGUCUAUGCCACCAAUCCUGAAGCACGCCGCAGUCAUCGGGUAGGGCUUGCUGAUGAAGGAGCUGUCCUCCGUCGUAUGUGGUUCCUUCAGAAGAACUCCGAGGACGAGGAGUGCAUCUCCUUCUGAUCUCCGGCGCUUCAUCCUCUCCUGA
rnacentral:rRNA from 1 species